rnacentral:rRNA from 1 species
GUAAACGGCGGCCGUAACUAUAACGGUCCUAAGGUAGCGAAAUUCCUUGUCGGGUAAGUUCCGACCUGCACGAAUGGCGUAACGACUUCCCCGCUGUCUCCAACAUCGACUCAGCGAAAUUGAAUUGCCUGUCAAGAUGCAGGCUUCCCGCGGUUAGACGGAAAGACCCCGUGCACCUUUACUACAACUUCGCACUGGCAUCAGGAUUGUGAUGUGCAGGAUAGGUGGUAGGCUUUGAAGCAGGAACGCCAGUUUCUGUGGAGCCUCCCUUGAGAUACCACCCUUCGCACUCUUGAUGUCUAACCGCGGUCCGUUAUCCGGAUCCGGGACCCUGCGUGGUGGGUAGUUUGACUGGGGCGGUCGCCUCCUAAAAAGUAACGGAGGUGUACUUAAGGUAAGUUCAGGUUAAAAAUUUUUAACUGUAGAGCAUAAUAGUAAAUUGCUUGCCUGACUGUUAGAUUGACAAAUCAAGCAGGGACGAAAGUCGGUUAUAGUGAUCCGGUGAUUCUGUGUGGAAAUGAUCAUCGCUCAACGAAUAAAAGGUACGCCGGGGAUAACAGGCUAAUCACUCUUUAGAGACCCUAUCGAUGGAGUGGUUUGGCACCUCGAUGUUGGAUUAUCGCAUCCUGGAGCUGUAAGUGGUUCCAAGGGUUUGGCUGUUCGCCAAGAAAGGCGGUACAUGAUCUGAGUUUAGAACGUCGUGAGACAGUUUGGUCCCUAUCUACCGUAAGCGUUAAAAAAUUGAGAAGAUUAAACUCUAGUACGAGAGGACCGAGAAAAGUAAACCUAUGGUGUAUCGAUUGUUAUACCAAUAGCAUAGUCGAGUAGCUAAGUUUAUAAUAGAUAAUCAUUGAAAGCAUUAAAAUGAGAAACUAACUUCAAGAUUUAUUUUUUUUAAUUGUAAUAGAAUAUUACUUUAAUAGGCUUAGUGUGUAAGAGUAGUAAUAUUUUUAGCAGAUAAGUACUAAAAAUU